CCCAGACUCCUACGGGAGGCAGCAGUGGGGAAUAUUGCACAAUGGGGGAAACCCUGAUGCAGCGACGCCGCGUGAGUGAAGAAGUAUUUCGGUAUGUAAAGCUCUCUCAGCAGGGAAGAAAAUGACGGUACCUGACUAAGAAGCCCCGGCUAACUACGUGCCAGCAGCCGCGGUAAUACGUAGGGGGCAAGCGUUAUCCGGAUUUACUGGGUGUAAAGGGAGCGUAGACGGUGAUGCAAGUCAGAAGUGAAAGCCCGGGGCUCAACUCCGGGACUGCUUUUGAAACUGUGUAACUGGAGUGCAGGAGAGGUAAGCGGAAUUCCUGGUGUAGCGGUGAAAUGCGUAGAUAUCAGGAGGAACACCAGUGGCGAAGGCGGCUUACUGGACUGUAACUGACGUUGAGGCUCGAAAGCGUGGGGAGCAAACAGGAUUAGAUACCCGCGUAG
rnacentral:rRNA from 1 species